AAAAAGACUCCUCUUUCCAGUUCCUUUCACUUCCAGGUACCUUCCACUUCCAGUGCAGUAGCGAUGCUUUUACUAUAGGUCUGCCGCCGGUCUGGGUGGAUGACUAUGAGGAAGUAUCUGUAAAAUUUCAAGAAUUCGAACCAAAAUGGGUGAGUUAGUUAAGGCGCACGCGAGAGCGUUGAUGCCAAUCGAAUGAUUGAAGUUCUUACUCGAGAGAUUACGGAUUAUUGAGAAAUUCCGUGACAAGUUAAAGAAAAAUUAUGCAUGGGAGUCUAUUGAGGAAUAUAUUGACUUUAUAUGAUUUUAUAUGUUUAUAAUUUUAAAUAUGUAUGAACUGUUGUUCAGCAUGUUUUUGUAAUGAUAAAUUAAAUAUAUUU